rnacentral:tRNA from 1 species
CGGCGGUUUGGCCGAGUGGUCUAAGGCGAUUGACUAGAAUUUGCUUGAGAUCAAAAUCUGAAAUCAAGCUUUUCAUUAUCAAUUCCGUUCGCGGGCGCAUGUUCGAAUCAUGCAGCCGUCGUUGC